ACCGAGAUGGUGAAAAUGGCAGACACGUGGGACUCAAAAUCCCAAGUCAUUUAUUAAUGACAUGCGGGUUCAAGUCCCGCUCUCGGUA
rnacentral:tRNA from 1 species